UACGGAGGGAGCUAGCGUUAUCCGGAAUCACUGGGCGUAAAGCGUCUGUAGGUGGUUUAAUAAGUCAACUGUUAAAUCUUGAGGCUCAACCUCAAAAUCGCAGUCGAAACUAUUAGGCUAGAGUAUAGUAGGGGUAAAGGGAAUUUCCAGUGGAGCGGUGAAAUGCGUAGAGAUUGGAAAGAACACCGAUGGCGAAGGCACUUUACUGGGCUAUUACUAACACUCAGAGACGAAAGCUAGGGUAGCAAAUGGG
rnacentral:rRNA from 1 species